GGGCGGGUAUAAAUGGAGCGGUGGCUCCCCCAGCCGCCUCUCUCCGCCCCGGGUCGCCGCAGCCUCUCCCGCUUUCGGGCUCAGUAGCCUGAAGAAAAAAAAAAGAGAAAAAGAUAAAAAAAAACUCGAAAACGCUCUAAAACCUGAAAAAAAAAAAGAAAAAUAAAAGAGAGAAAGAAAAAGCGAAUCCUCCUCGGAGAACCCGCGGGGAAGUCACUUGUGCACGCUUCCGGCCUGCCCGCCGCCGCCGCCGCACCUGGGCGUCCGUCGGUCCCUGUCUGUCGGUCCGGUGGUGAGCCGCCCGCGUCCACGCGCCUCCGCGCCGCCGCCGCCGCCCGCGCCGCGUGGCAGCCCCGCGCCCCCGCCCCCCGCGCCGUCCGCCCCGCGCACCACGUGUCCGCGCUGCCCUUCGCGGCCCGGCGUGAAGGCGGCUGCGCGCUCGGCCCCCCAGGCUUGCCGCGCCGACACCGACAAAUAUUUUGCAUCCCUCGUCCGCGGCUGCUGUAAUCUUAAACCGCCAGCCGCCCGAGGCCUAUAUUUAACGAGAAACGCGUACCCCGGAGGCCGCGUGGGCGCCGCUUGCCUGGCUCCUGGAGAAUCUUUGUAAUUGGGAGGGAAGUCCCCCUUUUAUUAACACAUCUAUUUUGGAAAUUGGGAGCUGGAGAUUACAAACUCCCCGGGAGGGCCAUAUUGUUUUUUGAGAGCCUUUUGUCUGCGGCCCCGCAGUCGCGAGCGAGCGAGCCAGCCGCCCCCGACCUGCUCGGUGCCUCCCGCCGCCGAGCCUACGCCAGCGCUGCCACCUGUGAGCCGCGGCGCGGGCCCCGCUCCGGGAAGAUCCCCUUUUGUCCGGCGCGGUCCUCGUAAGGAGUCCUGGCGGGGCUUGGGGUCGUGGGGGCUGGGGAGAUGAACGCUGCCGCCAGCAGCUACCCCAUGGCCUCCCUGUACGUGGGCGACCUGCACUCGGACGUCACCGAGGCCAUGCUGUAUGAAAAGUUCAGCCCUGCGGGGCCUGUGCUGUCCAUCCGGGUCUGCCGCGACAUGAUCACCCGCCGCUCCCUGGGCUAUGCCUACGUCAACUUCCAGCAGCCGGCCGACGCCGAGCGGGCCUUGGAUACUAUGAACUUUGAUGUGAUUAAGGGAAAGCCAAUCCGCAUCAUGUGGUCUCAAAGGGAUCCCUCUUUGAGAAAAUCGGGUGUGGGAAACGUCUUCAUCAAGAACUUGGACAAAUCUAUAGAUAACAAGGCACUUUAUGAUACUUUUUCUGCGUUUGGAAACAUUCUGUCCUGCAAGGUGGUGUGUGACGAGAAUGGCUCUAAGGGUUAUGCCUUCGUUCACUUCGAGACCCAAGAGGCUGCAGACAAGGCCAUCGAGAAGAUGAACGGCAUGCUCCUCAAUGACCGCAAAGUGUUUGUGGGCAGAUUCAAGUCUCGAAAAGAGCGGGAAGCCGAGCUUGGGGCCAAAGCCAAGGAGUUCACUAAUGUGUAUAUCAAAAACUUUGGGGAAGAGGUGGAUGAUGAGAGUCUGAAAGAGCUGUUCAGCCAGUUUGGUAAGACCUUAAGUGUCAAGGUGAUGAGAGAUCCCACUGGGAAAUCCAAAGGCUUUGGCUUCGUGAGUUACGAAAAACACGAGGAUGCCAAUAAGGCUGUGGAAGAGAUGAAUGGAAAAGAAAUCAGUGGGAAAGUCAUUUUUGUAGGCCGCGCACAGAAGAAAGUGGAACGGCAGGCUGAGUUAAAACGGAAAUUUGAACAACUGAAGCAAGAGAGAAUUAGUCGAUAUCAGGGGGUGAAUCUCUACAUUAAGAACUUGGAUGACACCAUUGAUGAUGAGAAGUUAAGGAAAGAGUUUUCUCCUUUCGGAUCCAUCACCAGUGCUAAGGUAAUGCUGGAGGAUGGGAGAAGCAAAGGGUUUGGCUUUGUCUGCUUCUCGUCUCCUGAAGAGGCUACCAAAGCAGUCACUGAGAUGAACGGACGCAUUGUGGGCUCCAAGCCACUGUAUGUCGCCUUGGCCCAGAGGAAGGAAGAGCGAAAGGCUCACCUGACGAACCAGUAUAUGCAGCGGGUGGCCGGAAUGAGAGCACUCCCUGCCAAUGCCAUCUUAAAUCAGUUCCAGCCUGCAGCUGGUGGCUAUUUUGUGCCAGCAGUUCCACAGGCUCAGGGAAGGCCUCCAUAUUACACACCUAACCAGUUAGCACAGAUGAGACCUAAUCCACGCUGGCAGCAAGGUGGGAGACCUCAAGGCUUCCAAGGAAUGCCGAGUGCUAUACGCCAGUCUGGGCCUCGUCCAACUCUUCGCCACCUGGCUCCAACUGGUAAUGCUCCGGCCUCUCGUGGCCUCCCUACUACUGCUCAGAGAGUCGGGUCUGAGUGCCCGGACCGCUUGGCUAUGGACUUUGGUGGGGCUGGUGCCGCCCAGCAAGGGCUGACUGACAGCUGCCAGUCUGGAGGUGUUCCCACAGCUGUGCAGAACUUAGCACCUCGCGCUGCUGUGGCUGCUGCUGCUCCUCGGGCUGUUGCACCUUACAAGUAUGCCUCCAGUGUCCGCAGCCCUCACCCUGCCAUACCACCUCUGCAGGCACCCCAGCCUGCGGUCCAUGUGCAGGGGCAGGAGCCCCUGACCGCCUCCAUGCUGGCCGCAGCACCCCCCCAGGAACAGAAGCAGAUGCUGGGCGAACGUUUGUUCCCUCUCAUCCAAACCAUGCAUUCGAACCUGGCUGGAAAGAUUACGGGAAUGCUUCUAGAGAUCGACAACUCUGAGCUGCUGCACAUGCUGGAGUCCCCCGAGUCUCUCCGCUCCAAGGUGGAUGAAGCUGUGGCAGUUCUACAGGCUCAUCAUGCCAAGAAAGAAGCUGCCCAGAAGGUGGGCACUGUUGCUGCUGCUACCUCUUAGGCAAGGAAAAAACAGCGAGAGGAAGAAGAGGGAGAGAGAAACAUCGGUCAGCUAUGGGGGCCGAUCCCGCAACCGUGGGCAUGUGUUCUGAUGGGGAAUCAAGGUAGCAACCUGUAGGUGCACAAGAGGAUGCCCAACCAACUGAGCCACACUGGCCAGAGCAUUGACAGCUGUGUUUUUAAAAAGCAGAGGGAAGUUCAGCCUGGACAAUGGAGCCUUGGCCUCUGGUCACCUGGAGAGGAAAGGAGAAAGAGAGAGAAACAUCAAUGAUGAGAGAAGCUCAAGCCCACAACCUCGGACAUAUGCCCUGACCAGGAAUUGAAUAUCAAUCUUCUGGUUCAUAAGUUGAUGCUCAACCGCUGAGCCACACCAGCUGGGCAAGUUCUUCAAUUCUUAAAUAAAAUGAAUGAAUCUGAAUUCUUUGAGAGAACAAUUCGUGUCAAUUUGACCAAACCAGUGAUGGGGACUAAGGAAGGCU